rnacentral:tRNA from 3 species
CGUAGCUCAGUUGGAUAGAGCAACGGCCUUCUAAGCCGUGGGUCGGGGGUUCGAAUCCCUUCGG